GUGUUGUACUACUUUUGGGACAAAUUAUAUCAAAAUUAUAGAAAACUUCAUCGGCUCUAACUCAAAAUAUGGACAAUUUUAUGUUUAGGGCGUCUUGAAAUCUUUUGACAGCUUCCGAAGUGCUAGUUUUUAACCUUUUUCAACUGGACCAAAUCACUACUUUCCUUUAAAAUUUUGGACCCAAAUUUUUUUAGUGUAAUUU
rnacentral:lncRNA from 1 species